UCUCUCUUUCUCUCUCAUUCAAACUCUCAAAUAAAGCUUAAAAAAUCUAUAACUAGCAACGUAAUUAUGUGUUUUAUCAAUAAAUUAUCAUGGUCUUUAGAAUUUUAACUUUGACAAAUUCAACAUGUGAGAAAAUAAUGCAAAACAUGAUAUUAAUUUUAGGCACCAAAAACUACUAUGCUAAAAAUUGAACUAAAUUGUAUUUAAG
rnacentral:lncRNA from 1 species